rnacentral:rRNA from 1 species
CGAACGGGUGAGUAAUACAUCGGAACGUGUCCUGGAUGGGGGAUAACCUCGAGAAAUCGAGGCUAAUACCGCAUGAUCUCUAAGGAGCAAAGCGGGGGAACCGUAAGGUCCUCGCGCUGUUGGAGCGGCCGAUGCCGGAUUAGCUUGUUGGUGGGGUAAAGGCCUACCAAGGCGACGAUCCGUAGCUGGUCUGAGAGGAUGAUCAGCCACACUGGAACUGAGACACGGUCCAG